AUCUUCCGCAAUGGGCGAAAGCCUGACGGAGCAACGCCGCGUGAGUGAUGAAGGGUUUCGGCUCGUAAAACUCUGUUAUUAGGGAAGAACAAAUGUGUAAGUAAAUGGGCACAUCUUGACGGUACCUAAUCAGAAAGCCACGGCUAACUACGUUCCAGCAGCCGCGGUAAUACGUAGGUGGCAAGCGCUAUCCGGAACUAUUGGGCGUAAAGCUCGCGUAGGCGGUUUCUUAAGUCUUAUGUGAAAGCCCACGGCUCAACCGUGGAGGGUCAUUGGAAACUGGGAAACUUGAGUGCAGAAGAGGAAAGUGGAAUUCCAUGUGUAGCAGUGAAAUGCGCAGAGAUAUGGAGGAACACCAGUGGCGAAGGCGACUUUCUGGUCUGUAACUGACGCUGAUGUGCGAAAGCGUGGGGAUCAAACA
rnacentral:rRNA from 1 species